AUUGAACGCUGGCGGCAGGCCUAACACAUGCAAGUCGAACGAGUGGCGGACGGGUGAGUAAUGUCUGGGAAACUGCCUGAUGGAGGGGGAUAAGUACUGGAAACGGUAGCUAAUACCGCAUACCAUCAGAUGUGCCCAGAUGGGAUUAGCUUGUUGGUGGGGUAACGGCUCACAAAGGCGACGAUCCCUAGCUGGUCUGAGAGGAUGACCAGCAACACUGGAACUGGGACACGGUCCGGAGACCUACGGGAGGCAGCAGUGGGGAAUAUUGCACAAUGGGCGAAAGCCGAAUGCAGACAUGCCGCGUGUAGGAAGAAGGCCUUCGGGUUGUAAAGUAAUUUCAGCGGGGAGGCGUUACCCGCAGAAGAAGCACCGGCUAACUCCGUGCCAGCCGCCGCGGUAAUUC
rnacentral:rRNA from 1 species